rnacentral:rRNA from 1 species
AGUUCGGAUUGCAGGCUGCAACCCGCCUGCAUGAAGUUGGAAUCGCUAGUAAUCGCGGAUCAGCAUGCCGCGGUGAAUACCGUUCCCGGGCCUUGUACACACCGCCCGUCCACACCAUGAGAGUCGGGAACCACCCGAAGUCCGUAGCCUAACCGCGAAGGGGGCGCGGCCGAAGGUGGGUUCGAUAAUUGGGGUGAAGUCGUAACAAGGUAUC